GAUGAAGAACGCAGCGAAAUGCGAUAAGUAAUGUGAAUUGCAGAAUUCAGUGAAUCAUCGAAUCUUUGAACGCACAUUGCGCCCCCUGGUAUUCCGGGGGGCAUGCCUGUCCGAGCGUCAUUACAACCCUCAAGCUCAGCUUGGUGUUGGGCCCCGCCGCCCCGGCGGGCCCUAAAGUCAGUGGCGGUGCCGUCCGGCUCCGAGCGUAGUAAUUCUUCUCGCUCUGGAGGUCCGGUCGUGUGCUCGCCGGCAACCCCCAAUUUUUUUCAGGUUGACCUCGGAUCAGGUAGGGAUACCCGCUGAACUUAAGCAUAUCAAUAAGCGGAGGA
rnacentral:misc_RNA from 1 species